rnacentral:rRNA from 1 species
UCUACAGGCUUAACACAUGCAAGUCGAGGGGCAGCAUGGUCUUAGCUUGCUAAGGCCGAUGGCGACCGGCGCACGGGUGAGUAACGCGUAUCCAACCUGCCUUACACUCUUGGACAGCCUUCUGAAAGGGAGAUUAAUACAAGAUGUUAUCAUGAGUAAGCAUUUUCGCAUGAUUAAAGGUUUACCGGUGUAAGAUGGGGAUGCGUUCCAUUAGAUAGUAGGCGGGGUAACGGUCCACCUAGUCUUCGAUGGAUAGGGGUUCUGAGAGGAAGGUCCCCCACAUUGGAACUGAGACACGGUCCAAACUCCUACGGGAGGCAGCAGUGAGGAAUAUUGGUCAAUGGACGAGAGUCUGAACCAGCCAAGUAGCGUGAAGGAUGAAGGUUCUAUGGAUUGUAAACUUCUUUUAUACGGGAAUAAACGAAUCCACGUGUGGAUUUUUGCAUGUACCGUAUGAAUAAGGAUCGGCUAACUCCGUGCCAGCAGCCGCGGUAAUACGGAGGAUCCGAGCGUUAUCCGGAUUUAUUGGGUUUAAAGGGAGCGUAGAUGGGUUGUUAAGUCAGUUGUGAAAGUUUGCGGCUCAACCGUAAAAUUGCAAUUGAUACUGGCAGUCUUGAGUACAGUUGAGGUAGGCGGAAUUCGUGGUGUAGCGGUGAAAUGCUUAGAUAUCACGAAGAACUCCGAUUGCGAAGGCAGCUUACUAACCUGUAACUGACAUUGAUGCUCGAAAGUGUGGGUAUCAAACAGGAUUAGAUACCCUGGUAGUCCACACGGUAAACGAUGAAUACUCGCUGUAGGCGAUAUACAGUCUGCGGCCAAGCGAAAGCAUUAAGUAUUCCACCUGGGGAGUACGCCGGCAACGGUGAAACUCAAAGGAAUUGACGGGGGCCCGCACAAGCGGAGGAACAUGUGGUUUAAUUCGAUGAUACGCGAGGAACCUUACCCGGGCUUAAAUUGCAACCGAAUAUGGCGGAAACGCUAUAGCUAGCAAUAGCGGUUGUGAAGGUGCUGCAUGGUUGUCGUCAGCUCGUGCCGUGAGGUGUCGGCUUAAGUGCCAUAACGAGCGCAACCCUUGCCGAUAGUUACUAACAGGUCAUGCUGAGGACUCUGUCGGGACUGCCAUCGUAAGAUGUGAGGAAGGUGGGGAUGACGUCAAAUCAGCACGGCCCUUACGUCCGGGGCUACACACGUGUUACAAUGGGGGGUACAGAGGGCUGCUACCACGCAAGUGGAUGCCAAUCCCAAAAACCUCUCUCAGUUCGGAUUGAAGUCUGCAACCCGACUUCAUGAAGCUGGAUUCGCUAGUAAUCGCGCAUCAGCCACGGCGCGGUGAAUACGUUCCCGGGCCUUGUACACACCGCCCGUCAAGCCAUGGGAGCCGGGGGUACCUGAAGUGCGUAACCGCAAGGAGCGCCCUAGGGUAAAACUGGUGAC